rnacentral:rRNA from 1 species
AUGCGCGACGGCGCGGCGAGGGGGGCUGGCCCCGAGGAGCGGCGGCCCGGCGCGACCGCCGCCCGGAGCCUGGCCGUCGCCGGCGGCUCCCUCCAUCAUCGCCGCCGUCCGGGGAGGGAAGCGGUCAUCGGCCACGGCGAGAGGGGCGGGCACGGCGGCAGGAUUCGGUCAGACAUGGUUAGAGCGCUCGCAUUGCAUGCUCCGCCGCCGGUGGCCUCUCGCACCAGGACUGGUCCGAGCCAGAUCCGGGAAUGGAUGGAGGGGAAGGGGAAUGAGAGCGGGGGUGCAGAUGAGGGGAGGGAAGAAGCCACCUUCAGCCGUUGCUUGGGGGAGGACACACGGAGUGCCGACUAG